rnacentral:rRNA from 1 species
CGGGUGAGUAAUGUCUGGGAAACUGCCUGAUGGAGGGGGAUAACUACUGGAAACGGUAGCUAAUACCGCAUAACGUCGCAAGACCAAAGAGGGGGACCUUAGGGCCUCUUGCCAUCGGAUGUGCCCAGAUGGGAUUAGCUAGUAGGUGGGGUAAUGGCUCACCUAGGCGACGAUCCCUAGCUGGUCUGAGAGGAUGACCAGCCACACUGGAACUGAGGCACGGUCCAG